UAGGGAAUCUUCGGCAAUGGACGAAAGUCUGACCGAGCAACGCCGCGUGAGUGAAGAAGGUUUUCGGAUCGUAAAACUCUGUUGUUAGAGAAGAACAAGGACGUUAGUAACUGAACGUCCCCUGACGGUAUCUAACCAGAAAGCCACGGCUAACUACGUGCCAGCAGCCGCGGUAAUACGUAGGUGGCAAGCGUUGUCCGGAUUUAUUGGGCGUAAAGCGAGCGCAGGCGGUUUCUUAAGUCUGAUGUGAAAGCCCCCGGCUCAACCGGGGAGGGUCAUUGAAAACUGGGAGACUGGAGUGCAGAAGAGGAGAGUGGAAUUCCAUGUGUAGCGGUGAAAUGCGUAGAUAUAUGGAGGAACACCAGUGGCGAAGGCGGCUCUCUGGUCUGUAACUGACGCUGAGGCUCGAAAGCGUGGGGAGCAAACAGG
rnacentral:rRNA from 1 species